UCACAUUGGCGUUGUUGGGGCUCACAUUGGGGUUCACUUUGGGGCUCACGUUGGUGUUGUUGGGGCUCAUGUUGGGGUUCACUUUGGGGUUCACAUUGGCGUUGUUGGGGCUCACGUUGGGGUUCACUUUGGGGUUCACAUGGGUGUUGUUGGAGUUCACGUUGGGGCUCACAUUGGCGUUCACAUUGGCGUUGUUGGGGCUCAAAUUGGGCUUCAUUUUGGGGUUCACGUUGGCGUUGAGGUUCACAUUGGGGUUCACGUUGGGCUUCCUCUUGGGGUUCACUUUGGGGUUCACAUUGGCGUUGUUGGGGCUCACGUUGGGCUUCACUUUGGGGUUCACAUUGGCGUUGUUGGGGCUCACGUUGGGCUUCAUUUUGGGGUUCACAUGGGUGUUGUUGGGGUUCACGUUGGGCUUCAUUUUGGGGUUCACGUUGGCGUUGAGGUUCACAUUGGGGUUCACAUGGGUGUUGUUGGGGCUCACGUUGGGCUUCACUUUGGGGCUCACGUUGGUGUUGUUGGGGCUCAUGUUGGGGUUCACUUUGGGGUUCACAUGGGUGUUGUUGGG
rnacentral:lncRNA from 1 species